CACGUAGGGCGCAAGCGUUGUCCGGAAUUAUUGGGCGUAAAGAGCUCGUAGGUGGUUUGUUACGUCUGCUGUGAAAACCUAGGGCUUAACCCUGGGCUUGCAGUGGAUACGGGCAGACUAGAGGUAGGUAGGGGAGAAUGGAAUUCCUGGUGUAGCGGUGAAAUGCGCAGAUAUCAGGAGGAACACCGGUGGCGAAGGCGGUUCUCUGGGCCUUAUCUGACACUGGAGGAGCGAAAGCGUGGGGAGCGAACAGG
rnacentral:rRNA from 1 species